CAAAUACUCCCUCCGUCCGGAAAUACUUGUCAUCAAAAUGGAUAAAAGGAAAUGUAUCUAGACGUAUUUUAGUUUUAGAUACAUCUACUUUUAUCCAUUUUGAUGACAAGUAUUUUCGGACGGAGGGCGUAGAAA
rfam:Triticum aestivum genome assembly, contig: Triticum_aestivum_CS42_TGACv1_scaffold_518572_6BS